rnacentral:rRNA from 1 species
UCUAGUAUAAGCAAUUAUACCGGGAACUGCGAAUGGCUCAUAAAUCAGUAUCGUUUAUUGAUAGUACCUACUACUGGAUACCGUGGUAAUUCUAGAGCUAUACAUGCUGAAACCCCAACUUCGGGAGGGUGUAUUUAUUAGAUAAAAACCAACGCCUUCGGGGCUUCUUGGUGAUUCAUGAUAACUUCACGGAUCGCAUGGCCUUGCGCCGGGCGACGGUUCAUUCAAAUUUCUGCCCUAUCAACUUUCGAUGGUAAGGUAUUGGCUUACCAUGGUUUCAACGGGUAACGGGGAAUUAGGGUUCGAUUCCGGAGAGGGAGCCUGAGAAACGGCUACCACAUCCAAGGAAGGCAGCAGGCGCGCAAAUUACCCAAUCCCGACACGGGGAGGUAGUGACAAUAAAUACUGAUACAGGGCUCUUUUGGGUCUUGUAAUUGGAAUGAGUACAAUUUAAACCUCUUAACGAGGAACAAUUGGAGGGCAAGUCUGGUGCCAGCAGCCGCGGUAAUUCCAGCUCCAAUAGCGUAUAUUAAAGUUGUUGCAGUUAAAAAGCUCGUAGUUGAAACUUGGGCCUGGCUGGCAGGUCCGCCUCACCGCGUGUACUUGUCCGGCCGGGCCUUUCCUUCUGGAGAACCUCAUGCCCUUCACUGGGUGUGUUGGGGAACCAGGACUUUUACUUUGAAAAAAUUAGAGUGUUCAAAGCAGGCCUUUGCUCGAAUACGUUAGCAUGGAAUAAUAGAAUAGGACGUGCGGUCCUAUUUUGUUGGUUUCUAGGACCGCCGUAAUGAUUAAUAGGGACAGUCGGGGGCAUCAGUAUUCAAUUGUCAGAGGUGAAAUUCUUGGAUUUAUUGAAGACUAACUACUGCGAAAGCAUUUGCCAAGGAUGUUUUCAUUAAUCAGUGAACGAAAGUUAGGGGAUCGAAGACGAUCAGAUACCGUCGUAGUCUUAACCGUAAACUAUGCCGACUAGGGAUCGGGCGAUGUUCUUUUUCUGACUCGCUCGGCACCUUACGAGAAAUCA